CCUAAGUCCUCAAGAAAGAAGAGCAGACAAGAGAGAUGGCUGCUCCCUGUCUAGAGAAAUAGCCAUGUCCCCCCAGCUCAGCAGCAAUGGGAAGGUGGUCUGGGGUGAAUAAUUUCUAAGGGGACAGAGAGGAAGCAGAUCUGGAGAGAGAAAAACUGACCAGAGUUCUCACGGCUGGAGGCUCCCUUAAUUAAUUCACCUGCCUGAUCCCAUGGACCCACACCCUAAGUGACAAAGGGGCACCGGAACUCUGAGAAUCAGUUCUGAGGUUGUGAACAUUGGACACAGAUAAUUAUCCAGCUAAACAGUGUCUCUUCUGCCCUCACAGAAAAACAUGUGGUCAAGAGGAAAUUGAAUCAAGUCCUUUAAUCAGCCACAGUAGUAUUCGAAUCAUUUAAUUUAGGAUCUGACAACCACAAAUUACUCUAUUUUUCAAGCCAAUUUUAGCCAACCAGGAGAACUGGCCCCAGUCAACUCAAGUUUAAUAAAUGCCUGAUGAUGGCAGUUUCAGAGGAAGUUUUUCUUUCUUUCUGUUUUUGAUUUCUUGGAAAUGUUCCCUUCCUGGCUCCCCGGGGCUGAGAGUGAACCCUGUGGGCAGAGAGCGCCAGCCACACCACACCGGGCAGCAGCGGGCAGCACAGGGAGCCAUCACUUCUGCCACUGAGGCUUUUCAUUCCUGGCCCUGAGUUCUUUUGGCCAGGAAAACAAGUCAAAUCAUAUUAGAGGCAGGCAGGCAUGGCCCACGGCGGCGGCGGCUCACCCGCGCUGGCCUCAGACCUUUCAGCACUUUCUGGAAACCCUGCACCGGAAGUAAAAAAAGAUGGCUUCGGAGUCAAAACAACAUCCGCCGGACACGCCAGAGAUGGCAGCUGUCACAAAGCCAGUAAGAGGCCAAAGGCAUGAUCUCACGUUCAGAACCAGCUCUACAUACAGCAGAUGAGGGUGAGCAGGGAGAACCCACAGGGCUUCAUCCUUCCCUCGCUGGAAAGGACAGCCUGCACCAGACCGCUGCUUUUAAGCUGGCACUCCCAUUGUCCCUCCAACAAUGCAAAGAUUCAGAUACUCAGGUCUGUUUUGCGUUGCCAUAACUGAAUACCUUACGUUCAGCUUAUACAGUAGCGUAUAAAGCCUUACGGU